rnacentral:pre_miRNA from 1 species
AUUCUACUCCCUAUGUUCCACAAUACAUGCCUUCUAUUUGUCAAAAUAUAGAUGUAUCUAGACAUGUUUUAGUAUAUAGGUACAUCCAUUUUUGGACAAAUGGAAGUCAAGUAUUUUGGAAUGGAGGGAGUACACA